GACGAACGCUGGCGGCGUGCUUAACACAUGCAAGUCACGGGGGCCCGCAAGGGUCAACCGGCGAACGGGUGCGUAACACGUGAGCGACCUGCCCAAUUGCGGGGGAUAGCCGGCCCAACGGCCGGGUAAUACCGCAUACGCUUCCCUGGGGGCAUUCUUGGGGAAGGAAACCUACGGGGCGAUUGGAGGGGCUCGCGGCCUAUCAGCUAGUUGGCGAGGUAACGGCUCACCAAGGCGAUGACGGGUAGCUGGUCUGAGAGGAUGGCCAGCCACAUUGGGACUGAGAGACGGCCCAGACUCCUACGGGAGGCAGCAGUGGGGAAUCUUGCGCAAUGGCCGAAAGGCUGACGCAGCGACGCCGCGUGGAGGAUGACGCCC
rnacentral:rRNA from 1 species